GUGGGGCCAGGAUCCACCCCUUCCCAGGCCUCAUUUAAGGGUUGGCAGUGGAGGAGGGUGCCUCUCUGAAGAUGCCUGCUUAUCUGUAGACCUUCUUAAGGGGAAAGACUGAAUUAAUUCAUCAUUUUGCAUAAGCAUGGAAGAGACCAUCACUAAAAAAGCUUAGAGGAAAGAGAACUAGAAUGAAAGGACAAAAUCAUUUAAAUCAUUUGGGCUCAUCUUCAUAAAAAGAGUACCUGGUAAAUUAACACGGAGCUAUCCCUGACACUGAACAUAAAUGGAAUUCAAUCAGGUUCCAACUUUAAACAGGAGGACUGAGGAGACUUCUUAAAUGAGACAGCCGGAGCCUUUUUACAACAUGUUGUGUUGGUGACUGGAUAGUUCUGGGGACUAAUGAGGAGAUAUAAAAUCACAGUGAAGUUGGUGACCAUUUCUAAUCCAAAGCAAGUGAAGAAAGUGAAUGGUGCCCUGCCUUAGCUUCCUUUAUGUGCUUCCAGUUUUCUGAAAUCAGCCAUGUCUUCUGCAGAUAGGACUGUAACAGCUUGAUGGAUACCUCAGGAUCAGUUUAUACACGAGAAGUUUUCUUCAACAGCUUUCCAGCCCUGAGCAGCACUGGACCAAGCCGUGGUGUUGGUUCUCCAGAGCAGCAGCAGCAGCAGCCCUAGCAGCCAUCCCUUCUCUGAGCGUGGAAGUCUGUGUUUCCUGAAUCAACACACUCAGCACUUGGCUUUUUCUUCCCGCUAUUACUCAGAUCACAGCCCUGAUCACAUCGUGCACUACACACAUCGCUUAUGCUGCUGGUACGUGUUUUGUAGCCACGAGAACAGCAAGCAGACAAUUCACUAAACUUUGUAAUUGAUCACUAAUGGAUGUGGUAAAGUUCUCCACCAGUCUGAGUCCCUAAAUCAGAGCUGGCUGUCUUUCAGAAAGGGAUGGUCAUACUCAGCUAGAAUAGAUUGGGGUGAUGCAGAGAUAAUAGGGCAAAAUAAUGGCACGGCUGCUUCUAUGCAGGAGAUCAGUUUAAAUGCUGGUCUCUUUUAAUCUUACUUUUUUUUUUUCACAAGGAAGGUGGUACAUACGCCCAUCAGCAUACAUGGUAGACUGCAGCUGGGUAUUAACUCUUUCAUUUAUGCAGGGCUGUGCAGCUCUGGGUAGAGCUGUUGUUCUGCCUCCCAAGCACCUGUUCAGGAAAAGAUCUUAAAACACAUUGUUUCAUAUUAAAAAAAAAUAUCAGUCUUUUGCUUCCAGCAUCUGGUGCAGAAGGACAGCCCUGCUCUUCCUUCGCUUACAGAGCAGUUGUGUUACACAGCUUGCUAGGUAAGGACAGGCCAGCACAAUUGUAUUGGUGCCAAGAAUAUUGCUGCUGAUUGAGAUCACUGAACCAUGUCAGAGCUCAGCUGCAUCCAUGUCAGAGAAGCAUGUCUGAGACUAGUUACAGCUAACAAGCCUCUAUUUGACAGGGAAAGUAAAAAAAAAAAGGACCAGAGUGAGAUUUAUGACAAUUUCAAGUACAGAAUAUGCAAUAUGAACAGAUGAGCCCUUAUAAUGUUAAGGUCCGUUUUACAUACAAAUACUUUCUGUGGCUAGAAAAAGAGAAAUUCAGAAAAUAAUAGAAAGAGAUACAACAAACCCUUCUUCAAGUAAAGUUUUUCUGCAUCUCCCAUGGGAUUCUGUUGAAUGGUUGAAGGCAAAAAAAAAAAAAAAAAGGAAGAACAGAAACUGCUUGCAACACAGAGCAAACCUUGAGUGCCAAGAACAUGCUCUGGAUUUUUGUGUAAGAUGUCUGGUUCUUAUCUCAGCCCUGAUUCAUCACAGUUUACUCUCAGAAUUAUUUGGAAUUCAAGGACCUUGCUCCUAUGGUGUUAAUGGGUUAUGUUCAGCACAGAAACCUGUGACACAAAGCAAUGUUUAAUUAUUCAGUCCAGACUGGUUUUUGUGGUUAAAUGAAAUAAAAAUAGCAAGAAGACCAAUUAUAUUGUUUUACAUGACUUACAUUUUGUAGGUGAAAUAUUUUUUCUCUUAACCAUGUAAUCCAGGACUGCACACAGGAAAGAGGAGCCACAUAAAAGAGGGGUUGGGCUGCUUGUGACAUGGAGGUUCAGCCUGCACAUGACUGAAGAGGAGAAGGAAAGCAUUGCCAUAAAAGUGACAGUAGAAGUGAAGAAUUGUGGUGGAUGUGUAAUGCACCACUGAAAGGAGAAAACAUACAAAGCUGGAAAUCUUAUCAUGUCUGGAGUCUUUCUAUUCCAAAGCAGGAUUUGAAGGGAAGAAGCUACAGCCCUUGUUGGCUCACAUCCCUUUCUUCAUAUAUGGGGAAAAAAAAUGUUGAAGCGAUAUGAUUACCAUAAUUGCUACCUCUGUUCAGAAAGACAAGGUGGUUUUCCACCCUGAAUUCAGCUCAGCCAGCCACCAUAGUACCAGUCAGGAACUAAUGCCACAAGCUGCAGCCACAAAUGUAUUGUCUCACACUUCAAAUGCACCAUACAGGAUGCUAAGGCACAUUACAGAUGCAGAAGCGCUGAAGUAUUAUGCAGCAUUCCUGUUACAAGGAAUUUGCAGGUAGCUAACCAACGAUACAGUGUCAAACAAACACUGUCAAAGGUAUGCUGCUCCAAUAGCUAGCAAAGCCAAUUUGAAAUGAUGGUUCUAAACAUGGGUUUUCUAUGAAGGCUCAGGCUUAACAUAUAAUUAUCUGAGCUCUGUUUGGAGGGCAUGCUGUGGCACUAGGUUGGAAAUAGGCAGGUCAAAGAAAUAAACAAGAUCAUUUCAAGCCAAAAUCAUCACCAAAUGCAGUCCUGCUGUGCAAAGGAGAAAUCAUAACAGGAUAAUAACUCCCAAACCUCCUCAGCUGUUGUCUAGCUGCAGCUGCCCAGGGGAUAGGCUCAAGAUAGAGCUCUCCCUGCUGCAAGAGGCACUGAAGCUCUGGUUAAGCAGGUAUCUGUGGUUUGGUAUAAAUUUUAAAGUCAAACUGGCUAAAUGACUUGCUGUAUAGGUAAAGCCUUGCAGUUUUCAUUGCUGUUCUCUUGCCUUCUCGCUCUGCUUUGUUGCAGUAACUGGUCUGCCUUGGUGGAUUUGGUUGUAAGUGGCCAUUCACAGCUGGCUCUAAUUUAAAAAUUCAAGGUGGUGGAGGGGCAGCUUUUAACCCAAAACAUUUUCUGAACUUCUUUAUUUUUUAAGAAGUCUUUCACUUGUAAGGUAUGUAAACUAAAACUGUUUGAAUGACAGAGUUUGGGAACUUUGGAAAGUUUGUGUUUAAGUUCUGUUUCACCUCUGCUUUCCUAUUCUUUUCUCCUCCUGUCUCCCUUUUGUUUUCAAUUGUAUCACUGAAAAGAGGGGCAAUGAGAGGAAAACAAAAUAAUGGAGAAAAUAAUAGAGUAUCAACGUACUACUUUUCCUUUAAAUGCAUGAGGAAGUUGUGAUUAUUUCUCAAUUUAUUUAUUUAUUUAUUUUUCCAAAACAAAGAAAAAAAUAUUAACUGUAUAGCUUUCUUUUUCACCAUGGUAUUUCAUACUGCUUACUGGUGAGAUGAUGGUUAAUAUUUAGAUAACCCAAGAAUGAGGAGACAGUGGUGUGUUCUUAGCAGAAUUAGCAUAAUGGAUGUACGAGGAGGAAAGAUAGAGUGCAGCCAUCGUGUGUUAGGCACAGAAGGGUUAUUGUCUGUGCCCCAAGAAGUAAGGAGUUGUUCUGCAAGUGAUGGUGGAGGAAAGGGAGUUUUGUACUCCCUUUGUGAUACAGAAAGAAAAGCAUUGCUGCGUAAAUGAUAGUCAAAGAGGAAAAGUAAAUUGCGUAUGACAGAGAAGAGUGGAGUAGUGUGACAUAAGUUGGAAAGUGUCCUUUGAAAGUCGAAAAGAAAAAAAAAGAGAGAGAGAAGAGGGACUGUAGUUGUGCAAGUAGGACUGGAAGGCAAGGUUUGCUAUGGGGGAAGAGUAAAAAUAAUAAUAAUAAAAAAAAAGUUGUAUGGCUAAGAAAAGAAGCACAAUUUAUUUCACAACCAAGCACUUGAAAUUUACAGGCAAAACAGUCCCCAUGCACAUGUAGUGCUGUGUCUCUGUAGUUAAAAGGAACACACCAUUUUCAGAAAUAUUUUGAGCAAUAAUUGAGUAAUGAUAUCUGAAAAGAUGCUUGCACAUAAAACCGAGAUCAGGAAGCACAAUAGGUGUACUGAGCUACUAUUCCUUAUUUUUCAUGGUUAGGAUUUCCAGUCUCCCAGCAAUAAGACAGAAGGGUCAUAACUACUUACCUAUAGAGAAGCAGUGAAAGCACAGAUGGAAGAGUUUUGUUGCUCUUGCGACAGAAAGAAGAACUGUUUGGGGCAUUUUCAGUGUCCAUGUCUACGUUCACAUUUCCACACCAUAUUCCACUUCGGCAGUCCUUCUGUAAGAUGUUAGGUAAUGGCAUGGGCUGUGGUGCACUUCAUUGGUUUUGUAUCAUGAGAAAGUAGAAAUAAGACCUUAAAAUAUUAAUUAUUUAUAUAUUUGUUAUGGCAGUACCUGGUUAAAGACUUCCAGUUAUUUGGGAAUUGGUUUGUUUUCAUACAAUGAUCCUGACACCCAGUUACUCAAACAUAUCACGCUCAAACACAGUGCAACACUUGGUACCAGGAACCACAUUUCAGAGGUGAAGCUGGGGUCAGACGCAUUCCUGCUAAUUGUACUGAUUGCAGGAGGGUUAUUCCCUGGUUGAAUUUGUUCUCUGAUGUUAAAAGGGAUAGCUGCUAAUUGCCUCUAAGGAGGACUCAGAAACAGAAAUGGGAGCUGGACAGUAACUCCCUGCCCAUGCACACACACACAGAUAAGUGUGCUAAUCUUUUGGGGGAGUGUGGUAUGUGAGGAGCAAGUGCAGGUCAAGCUAUGCAGGGGCUUGGAGUGUGAUACACAACCACUGAUGAAAAAUGUUUCUGCAUGCUCAUUUGUUUUGUAACAUUGAUAUUGACUGUGUAAAAGAAAUCUAGUAUAUUGACCUGAUUUAUUCAGAUCAGUUCUUCAAAUCAGUGAAGUGGCAUGGAUACCAGAUCAUUCCUGCAGUUCCUACAAUGUUCUGACCAGGCUCACAUUUGAAGCUUUUGCCUUUUUACAGUGUGCAUCUCCUGACCUUCAGGUACACUGCCCUGAAUGCACUGCCUUUGUGUGCUAUGAUGAUGGAGGCAGAAAAUUACCCUGAAGUUUAGCAGGCUUGGUUCACUGCUCAGCAGAGUUGGUGGAUGAUUUUCCAUUAGCUUCAAAAGUAAAGGAGCAGGGCAAAACAACUAACCCGAGUUGUUAUAAUCCUGUUUGUAGGCAAAGGAAAAUAUAGAGUGAUGCCAGCGAAGUAUCUGAAUUGGAAUGAUAAAGGCAAAUCUGGAACACCUUUGUAACUGUUACCUAGAACGUUAAAGGUUACGUAAAUAAGACUGACUUUUAAAAUGAUUUCUUAUAAAAGCUCUGCAAAAUAUCCACAAUGCCAUUUGCAAUUGUACCGCCAUAUUAGUGUGUGGUAUGAGUUCACUGCACAUUUCCCAGGUGGCAAGCAGUGACUGUGGAGCAAGUUUUGAUCUGAUACCAGGAGAAACUCGGUCUUGAUCUGAAACUUGUCAAGUUUAGGAUGAGUCAGUGUGGACUUGAACAUGAUCUCUGUAAUCAAAAUCAACAUAAUCCUUGCGAAUGAAAAAUGUGAUCAGCAACUGCAUGCUAACAGCACCUAGGGCAAGUCUUCUGGACCCGCUGGAAAGCAACCAUGGCCAGAGAAAAGUGUUUUGUGCUGGCCCCAUAGAACCUGUGGUCAGGCAGCUUAUCAUUAAGUCUCCCCCUUACCAAAACAUUGUCCCCAGGCAGAAACAGCUUUUCUGUUAGGUAAGUGUCUGACAAGGUGUUUUUGCUUGCUGAGGAGUUGAGCGUGACCUAAUUAAAGGUGAUCUAGCGGUGCAGAGUUCCCACUUGAUUUUGUUCUUCCCACAGGCUGGUAUUUUGCAACCCAAGACUUCAGCUCAAAUCCAUUGUGCAGAAAUAGUUUUGAACAUAAGGCAAGGCAGGGGAAAACAAUUUUUUCAUUAACACACCUGAGCUGUCAGAGAUUCUGUUCCCUCUGUUGAGGACGAUGAAAUUGCCAAUCCCAAAUGCUCCCUGCCCUUCUCUGAGAGAUAAGUGACUUCAUCAACACGAGCAGAACAAACAAAGAGCUCCGAACCAAGAUCUUGGCAGGUUCAAACCUUCCCAGUCCAAGAUGAGAAAACAAGGAAACACUUAGAGCAGUGACAGCAUCUGAGCCUUUUAACAAAUGAAAGGACCUACAGGCUAACGAUAAAGGCUUUAGAGCCAAUCGGCCAAGCUCAUCCCUGCUUUAAACCUGUUAUUCUUCCAAUUCAAACAACAGAAAAGGGGCAAACAAGAGAAAUCCUUGGUAGCAAAUGUGAUUAGAUGAAGCAAACAGUAAGAGCUCUGCAGUAAGUGCAGUUCAUCACACAAUUAGUUCCUUCCCAGCUUCACCAUCCAGACAUCCCUUCUCUGGCACAGUGCCAGCCAGGCAGUCAGGACUGAGCUGGGGGAUUAGAAAGUCAUGGUAGAUAUUUUUCUUAAAUUUGAGGGGGAGGGGGAAAGAGAAAAAAGGGAUUUCAGUGCUAUCAUUUCAAUAUUUAUUUUCUCUUCUAUAAUUUUAGAAAGCAUAGAGAGAACAGAGCUAUAAACAAUAUCAUUUAAAACAUGGGCCACAUUACUGCAGGUGCUUAUGAAACAGAAGCAGAGGUGACGUUUUAUGUAAUAUAUGUCUGUUCAGUUGGAGCAUUGGUUUGUUCUGGCUUUUUCUGUUUUUCUUUUUUAGGCAGUUGGAGUAGAGGAAUGAAAAUUAACCAGCGUUUCUCAAAAACAGUGGUUUGAUCAAAAAACAAGGUAUGUUUUAACUUAGUACAAAAGAAGAUCAUCUGAGGAGUAAGGUGCCUGAUGGGGAAGAAGAGAUGCUUGUGUCCAGUUUCCAUGAUCCUGCUGACACUGGAGAUACCUGCUGUACAGGCUUUUUUACCUCACCUUGUUUGGUAUGUCCAAGCUCCCCAUUCCAUGACAGAGCCAAGCAGCUUCAGCCAGGCAUGAGGACCUUCGUACAUGAAAAGCAGUGAAGAGCCAUAUCCCUAAAGCAUGCAACUCUUGUAUAUGACAAAAGAUAAUGGGUGGAUACCAAGAAUUGAAGGUAACAGAAAGAAAGAGAGGACAUAUUUCCACAGCUUGGCAAAAGCAGUCUCCAAAGUCCUCAAACAGCUGUGGAAAAAUAGUGAAAGGAGAGCAAAUAGCCUGUUUGUCCUCUAUCUCAUGGACACAGUGCCUUGUGAGCCCUGGAGGGUAUCUGCUCAUAUCCAAGCUGUGAAAGCAGUUGCUGUGCCUGCCACAUCACAGCUUCAUAGACACACCAAUGCUUGCAGUACAGUCAAAAUAUGCUUUAAAGCCCAUUUCAGCAGCAAGCUCUCUGGAUUCUGUGCCAGGAAAUGUUAAUUACUGUGGUGCAGUGUUCUGUUUUCUGUGGUGCAAUAACAAUUAAUUUACACCAUUUGGAAAAACACUUUUUUAUUAAAAAUCAAUAGAAGCAAAUCAAUGCAAUGUAAAGCAUACAAUACCAAAAUGAAAAGCUCUUGUUUUUAUACUUGGGCAUCCUUAAUAAAAUUGCACUGUAGAUUCAGGCAGUUUGUCUAUUGUAAUCUAAUGAGAAGCUGUCAAGCUUCUUUUAAGCGUUCUGGAAAUUACCAUGUAUUGGGGCAGCCAUUUUUAGUCAAAGAAUUCAAUAAUUAACCCCCAAGUUGUAAGUCAAUAUGAUGAUGGUGCAGGUGCCGCUGCAUUUGUCUCUCUGCACUGCAUCACCUAUGCACCUGACAAUCUGUGGGACCCAUUUUGAAUCGAGAUGGAGGUUAAUUUUUAUUUAUAGUUAUAAUUAGAAAAACACUAGCUGUAAUGAAAACUGCUCCACCGCUGGAACAUAUCACCACAGAGUAAAUUCCACAGCAAUUUUUGCAUUUUAAUAGGUCAGAGAGUAACACAAAUGAAUUGCUUCUUCCUGGGGGAACUUGUUUAUUCUUUGGAAUUUAAUGAUUUACUGGAACACUGAUCUCAAAGAAAAAAAUCCCACAGUUGUUUUUCUACCAUUGCCUCAACUGCACAAGGUGCUGCAGACCCUGGGAAGGCAGCUCACACCUGUAAUUGUACAGCUCCUGAGGCUCCCCUGCACAAGGUACUGGGGCCUACCUGCCAGCUCCUCAGCACCCUGCUGCACAUGGCACAGGAGCUCAGGGACUUCUCCAGGAUGAUACAGCUCCACCACAGAAGUGCUCCCUCAGCCCACAGCAGGAUGCAUCCAGCUGCUACAGUAAGGAAUGCUUUACCCUUUAGGCACAAGCUGCUGUUCCCCUCCCCAUGGUCCACCGCCAUGGUCUGCACAUUUAUGAGUGCAGCCACAACUACAGCUGGUCUUCUCUGACUCAACCAGAGCAGGAAGAAGCAGGACAAUUUUAAUCCAAUGGAAGCACUCAUGGAAGCAGCCAAGGACAUAUCACUCUGGAAGGGCAGAUCAUCAUUUCCUUUCUCCAGACAGGACUACUAUGGGUUUGAGUUUGACUAUUUUAACGGUGAAUUGAUUUUUUGUGUGAAGUGAUCUAGGUAUGACAGUAGAUUUUUCAAAGUCAUUCGGUAGCUCAUGACAGUGGGCUGGGAGGACAGGUGUCAUCAAAUAAAAAGGUAUGAACUGGACUAAUUUAAAAGGAACGCAGAGGUUGUACAGAACUGCCAGAAACUCCAUCGCUUUGGUACAGCGAUGCAAGGAAAAUAGAAACAGUAACAAAAGAAGACUUUGAAAUUCAAAGUUUUACAAAACAGGAUAUUUGAUUUGGAUUGUAUCUAGAAAUUGCAAAAGCUUGGCAAAGCAUCACUGAGGUACUGCAAAAUAUUUGUAAUCUGCAUAAUCUUUAUAUGCCACAGUCUUUCCCUCUACUGUGGGAGCUGUGAUGUAACCAUGAAUUUGUUAUUGGGGUGGCUGACACUAAUGUUCUUACAUAUUAAAAAAAAAAAAAAAA
rnacentral:lncRNA from 1 species